rnacentral:lncRNA from 1 species
CCAGCGCAGGGGCUUCUGCUGAGGGGGCAGGCGGAGCUUGAGGAAACCGCAGAUAAGUUUUUUUCUCUUUGAAAGAUAGAGAUUAAUACAACUACUUAAAAAAUAUAGUCAAUAGGUUACUAAGAUAUUGCUUAGCGUUAAGUUUUUAACGUAAUUUUAAUAGCUUAAGAUUUUAAGAGAAAAUAUGAAGACUUAGAAGAGUAGCAUGAGGAAGGAAAAGAUAAAAGGUUUCUAAAACAUGACGGAGGUUGAGAUGAAGCUUCUUCAUGGAGUAAAAAAUGUAUUUAAAAGAAAAUUGAGAGAAAGGACUACAGAGCCCCGAAUUAAUACCAAUAGAAGGGCAAUGCUUUUAGAUUAAAAUGAAGGUGACUUAAACAGCUUAAAGUUUAGUUUAAAAGUUGUAGGUGAUUAAAAUAAUUUGAAGGCGAUCUUUUAAAAAGAGAUUAAACCGAAGGUGAUUAAAAGACCUUGAAAUCCAUGACGCAGGGAGAAUUGCGUCAUUUAAAGCCUAGUUAACGCAUUUACUAAACGCAGACGAAAAUGGAAAGAUUAAUUGGGAGUGGUAGGAUGAAACAAUUUGGAGAAGAUAGAAGUUUGAAGUGGAAAACUGGAAGACAGAAGUACGGGAAGGCGAAGAAAAGAAUAGAGAAGAUAGGGAAAUUAGAAGAUAAAAACAUACUUUUAGAAGAAAAAAGAUAAAUUUAAACCUGAAAAGUAGGAAGCAGAAGAAAAAAGACAAGCUAGGAAACAAAAAGCUAAGGGCAAAAUGUACAAACUUAGAAGAAAAUUGGAAGAUAGAAACAAGAUAGAAAAUGAAAAUAUUGUCAAGAGUUUCAGAUAGAAAAUGAAAAACAAGCUAAGACAAGUAUUGGAGAAGUAUAGAAGAUAGAAAAAUAUAAAGCCAAAAAUUGGAUAAAAUAGCACUGAAAAAAUGAGGAAAUUAUUGGUAACCAAUUUAUUUUAAAAGCCCAUCAAUUUAAUUUCUGGUGGUGCAGAAGUUAGAAGGUAAAGCUUGAGAAGAUGAGGGUGUUUACGUAGACCAGAACCAAUUUAGAAGAAUACUUGAAGCUAGAAGGGGAAGUUGGUUAAAAAUCACAUCAAAAAGCUACUAAAAGGACUGGUGUAAUUUAAAAAAAACUAAGGCAGAAGGCUUUUGGAAGAGUUAGAAGAAUUUGGAAGGCCUUAAAUAUAGUAGCUUAGUUUGAAAAAUGUGAAGGACUUUCGUAACGGAAGUAAUUCAAGAUCAAGAGUAAUUACCAACUUAAUGUUUUUGCAUUGGACUUUGAGUUAAGAUUAUUUUUUAAAUCCUGAGGACUAGCAUUAAUUGACAGCUGACCCAGGUGCUACACAGAAGUGGAUUCAGUGAAUCUAGGAAGACAGCAGCAGACAGGAUUCCAGGAACCAGUGUUUGAUGAAGCUAGGACUGAGGAGCAAGCGAGCAAGCAGCAGUUCGUGGUGAAGAUAGGAAAAGAGUCCAGGAGCCAGUGCGAUUUGGUGAAGGAAGCUAGGAAGAAGGAAGGAGCGCUAACGAUUUGGUGGUGAAGCUAGGAAAAAGGAUUCCAGGAAGGAGCGAGUGCAAUUUGGUGAUGAAGGUAGCAGGCGGCUUGGCUUGGCAACCACACGGAGGAGGCGAGCAGGCGUUGUGCGUAGAGGAUCCUAGACCAGCAUGCCAGUGUGCCAAGGCCACAGGGAAAGCGAGUGGUUGGUAAAAAUCCGUGAGGUCGGCAAUAUGUUGUUUUUCUGGAACUUACUUAUGGUAACCUUUUAUUUAUUUUCUAAUAUAAUGGGGGAGUUUCGUACUGAGGUGUAAAGGGAUUUAUAUGGGGACGUAGGCCGAUUUCCGGGUGUUGUAGGUUUCUCUUUUUCAGGCUUAUACUCAUGAAUCUUGUCUGAAGCUUUUGAGGGCAGACUGCCAAGUCCUGGAGAAAUAGUAGAUGGCAAGUUUGUGGGUUUUUUUUUUUUACACGAAUUUGAGGAAAACCAAAUGAAUUUGAUAGCCAAAUUGAGACAAUUUCAGCAAAUCUGUAAGCAGUUUGUAUGUUUAGUUGGGGUAAUGAAGUAUUUCAGUUUUGUGAAUAGAUGACCUGUUUUUACUUCCUCACCCUGAAUUCGUUUUGUAAAUGUAGAGUUUGGAUGUGUAACUGAGGCGGGGGGGAGUUUUCAGUAUUUUUUUUUGUGGGGGUGGGGGCAAAAUAUGUUUUCAGUUCUUUUUCCCUUAGGUCUGUCUAGAAUCCUAAAGGCAAAUGACUCAAGGUGUAACAGAAAACAAGAAAAUCCAAUAUCAGGAUAAUCAGACCACCACAGGUUUACAGUUUAUAGAAACUAGAGCAGUUCUCACGUUGAGGUCUGUGGAAGAGAUGUCCAUUGGAGAAAUGGCUGGUAGUUACUCUUUUUUCCCCCCACCCCCUUAAUCAGACUUUAAAAGUGCUUAACCCCUUAAACUUGUUAUUUUUUACUUGAAGCAUUUUGGGAUGGUCUUAACAGGGAAGAGAGAGGGUGGGGGAGAAAAUGUUUUUUUCUAAGAUUUUCCACAGAUGCUAUAGUACUAUUGACAAACUGGGUUAGAGAAGGAGUGUACCGCUGUGCUGUUGGCACGAACACCUUCAGGGACUGGAGCUGCUUUUAUCCUUGGAAGAGUAUUCCCAGUUGAAGCUGAAAAGUACAGCACAGUGCAGCUUUGGUUCAUAUUCAGUCAUCUCAGGAGAACUUCAGAAGAGCUUGAGUAGGCCAAAUGUUGAAGUUAAGUUUUCCAAUAAUGUGACUUCUUAAAAGUUUUAUUAAAGGGGAGGGGCAAAUAUUGGCAAUUAGUUGGCAGUGGCCUGUUACGGUUGGGAUUGGUGGGGUGGGUUUAGGUAAUUGUUUAGUUUAUGAUUGCAGAUAAACUCAUGCCAGAGAACUUAAAGUCUUAGAAUGGAAAAAGUAAAGAAAUAUCAACUUCCAAGUUGGCAAGUAACUCCCAAUGAUUUAGUUUUUUUCCCCCCAGUUUGAAUUGGGAAGCUGGGGGAAGUUAAAUAUGAGCCACUGGGUGUACCAGUGCAUUAAUUUGGGCAAGGAAAGUGUCAUAAUUUGAUACUGUAUCUGUUUUCCUUCAAAGUAUAGAGCUUUUGGGGAAGGAAAGUAUUGAACUGGGGGUUGGUCUGGCCUACUGGGCUGACAUUAACUACAAUUAUGGGAAAUGCAAAAGUUGUUUGGAUAUGGUAGUGUGUGGUUCUCUUUUGGAAUUUUUUUCAGGUGAUUUAAUAAUAAUUUAAAACUACUAUAGAAACUGCAGAGCAAAGGAAGUGGCUUAAUGAUCCUGAAGGGAUUUCUUCUGAUGGUAGCUUUUGUAUUAUCAAGUAAGAUUCUAUUUUCAGUUGUGUGUAAGCAAGUUUUUUUUUAGUGUAGGAGAAAUACUUUUCCAUUGUUUAACUGCAAAACAAGAUGUUAAGGUAUGCUUCAAAAAUUUUGUAAAUUGUUUAUUUUAAACUUAUCUGUUUGUAAAUUGUAACUGAUUAAGAAUUGUGAUAGUUCAGCUUGAAUGUCUCUUAGAGGGUGGGCUUUUGUUGAUGAGGGAGGGGAAACUUUUUUUUUUUCUAUAGACUUUUUUCAGAUAACAUCUUCUGAGUCAUAACCAGCCUGGCAGUAUGAUGGCCUAGAUGCAGAGAAAACAGCUCCUUGGUGAAUUGAUAAGUAAAGGCAGAAAAGAUUAUAUGUCAUACCUCCAUUGGGGAAUAAGCAUAACCCUGAGAUUCUUACUACUGAUGAGAACAUUAUCUGCAUAUGCCAAAAAAUUUUAAGCAAAUGAAAGCUACCAAUUUAAAGUUACGGAAUCUACCAUUUUAAAGUUAAUUGCUUGUCAAGCUAUAACCACAAAAAUAAUGAAUUGAUGAGAAAUACAAUGAAGAGGCAAUGUCCAUCUCAAAAUACUGCUUUUACAAAAGCAGAAUAAAAGCGAAAAGAAAUGAAAAUGUUACACUACAUUAAUCCUGGAAUAAAAGAAGCCGAAAUAAAUGAGAGAUGAGUUGGGAUCAAGUGGAUUGAGGAGGCUGUGCUGUGUGCCAAUGUUUCGUUUGCCUCAGACAGGUAUCUCUUCGUUAUCAGAAGAGUUGCUUCAUUUCAUCUGGGAGCAGAAAACAGCAGGCAGCUGUUAACAGAUAAGUUUAACUUGCAUCUGCAGUAUUGCAUGUUAGGGAUAAGUGCUUAUUUUUAAGAGCUGUGGAGUUCUUAAAUAUCAACCAUGGCACUUUCUCCUGACCCCUUCCCUAGGGGAUUUCAGGAUUGAGAAAUUUUUCCAUCGAGCCUUUUUAAAAUUGUAGGACUUGUUCCUGUGGGCUUCAGUGAUGGGAUAGUACACUUCACUCAGAGGCAUUUGCAUCUUUAAAUAAUUUCUUAAAAGCCUCUAAAGUGAUCAGUGCCUUGAUGCCAACUAAGGAAAUUUGUUUAGCAUUGAAUCUCUGAAGGCUCUAUGAAAGGAAUAGCAUGAUGUGCUGUUAGAAUCAGAUGUUACUGCUAAAAUUUACAUGUUGUGAUGUAAAUUGUGUAGAAAACCAUUAAAUCAUUCAAAAUAAUAAACUAUUUUUAUUAGAGAAUGUAUACUUUUAGAAAGCUGUCUCCUUAUUUAAAUAAAAUAGUGUUUGUCUGUAGUUCAGUGUUGGGGCAAUCUUGGGGGGGAUUCUUCUCUAAUCUUUCAGAAACUUUGUCUGCGAACACUCUUUAAUGGACCAGAUCAGGAUUUGAGCGGAAGAACGAAUGUAACUUUAAGGCAGGAAAGACAAAUUUUAUUCUUCAUAAAGUGAUGAGCAUAUAAUAAUUCCAGGCACAUGGCAAUAGAGGCCCUCUAAAUAAGGAAUAAAUAACCUCUUAGACAGGUGGGAGAUUAUGAUCAGAGUAAAAGGUAAUUACACAUUUUAUUUCCAGAAAGUCAGGGGUCUAUAAAUUGACAGUGAUUAGAGUAAUACUUUUUCACAUUUCCAAAGUUUGCAUGUUAACUUUAAAUGCUUACAAUCUUAGAGUGGUAGGCAAUGUUUUACACUAUUGACCUUAUAUAGGGAAGGGAGGGGGUGCCUGUGGGGUUUUAAAGAAUUUUCCUUUGCAGAGGCAUUUCAUCCUUCAUGAAGCCAUUCAGGAUUUUGAAUUGCAUAUGAGUGCUUGGCUCUUCCUUCUGUUCUAACUUCACAGAGAAUGCAGUUGUCUUGACUUCAGGUCUGUCUGUUCUGUUGGCAAGUAAAUGCAGUACUGUUCUGAUCCCGCUGCUAUUAGAAUGCAUUGUGAAACGACUGGAGUAUGAUUAAAAGUUGUGUUCCCCAAUGCUUGGAGUAGUGAUUGUUGAAGGAAAAAAUCCAGCUGAGUGAUAAAGGCUGAGUGUUGAGGAAAUUUCUGCAGUUUUAAGCAGUCGUAUUUGUGAUUGAAGCUGAGUACAUUUUGCUGGUGUAUUUUUAGGUAAAAUGCUUUUUGUUCAUUUCUGGUGGUGGGAGGGGACUGAAGCCUUUAGUCUUUUCCAGAUGCAACCUUAAAAUCAGUGACAAGAAACAUUCCAAACAAGCAACAGUCUUCAAGAAAUUAAACUGGCAAGUGGAAAUGUUUAAACAGUUCAGUGAUCUUUAGUGCAUUGUUUAUGUGUGGGUUUCUCUCUCCCCUCCCUUGGUCUUAAUUCUUACAUGCAGGAACACUCAGCAGACACACGUAUGCGAAGGGCCAGAGAAGCCAGACCCAGUAAGAAAAAAUAGCCUAUUUACUUUAAAUAAACCAAACAUUCCAUUUUAAAUGUGGGGAUUGGGAACCACUAGUUCUUUCAGAUGGUAUUCUUCAGACUAUAGAAGGAGCUUCCAGUUGAAUUCACCAGUGGACAAAAUGAGGAAAACAGGUGAACAAGCUUUUUCUGUAUUUACAUACAAAGUCAGAUCAGUUAUGGGACAAUAGUAUUGAAUAGAUUUCAGCUUUAUGCUGGAGUAACUGGCAUGUGAGCAAACUGUGUUGGCGUGGGGGUGGAGGGGUGAGGUGGGCGCUAAGCCUUUUUUUAAGAUUUUUCAGGUACCCCUCACUAAAGGCACCGAAGGCUUAAAGUAGGACAACCAUGGAGCCUUCCUGUGGCAGGAGAGACAACAAAGCGCUAUUAUCCUAAGGUCAAGAGAAGUGUCAGCCUCACCUGAUUUUUAUUAGUAAUGAGGACUUGCCUCAACUCCCUCUUUCUGGAGUGAAGCAUCCGAAGGAAUGCUUGAAGUACCCCUGGGCUUCUCUUAACAUUUAAGCAAGCUGUUUUUAUAGCAGCUCUUAAUAAUAAAGCCCAAAUCUCAAGCGGUGCUUGAAGGGGAGGGAAAGGGGGAAAGCGGGCAACCACUUUUCCCUAGCUUUUCCAGAAGCCUGUUAAAAGCAAGGUCUCCCCACAAGCAACUUCUCUGCCACAUCGCCACCCCGUGCCUUUUGAUCUAGCACAGACCCUUCACCCCUCACCUCGAUGCAGCCAGUAGCUUGGAUCCUUGUGGGCAUGAUCCAUAAUCGGUUUCAAGGUAACGAUGGUGUCGAGGUCUUUGGUGGGUUGAACUAUGUUAGAAAAGGCCAUUAAUUUGCCUGCAAAUUGUUAACAGAAGGGUAUUAAAACCACAGCUAAGUAGCUCUAUUAUAAUACUUAUCCAGUGACUAAAACCAACUUAAACCAGUAAGUGGAGAAAUAACAUGUUCAAGAACUGUAAUGCUGGGUGGGAACAUGUAACUUGUAGACUGGAGAAGAUAGGCAUUUGAGUGGCUGAGAGGGCUUUUGGGUGGGAAUGCAAAAAUUCUCUGCUAAGACUUUUUCAGGUGAACAUAACAGACUUGGCCAAGCUAGCAUCUUAGCGGAAGCUGAUCUCCAAUGCUCUUCAGUAGGGUCAUGAAGGUUUUUCUUUUCCUGAGAAAACAACACGUAUUGUUUUCUCAGGUUUUGCUUUUUGGCCUUUUUCUAGCUUAAAAAAAAAAAAAGCAAAAGAUGCUGGUGGUUGGCACUCCUGGUUUCCAGGACGGGGUUCAAAUCCCUGCGGCGUCUUUGCUUUGACUACUAAUCUGUCUUCAGGACUCUUUCUGUAUUUCUCCUUUUCUCUGCAGGUGCUAGUUCUUGGAGUUUUGGGGAGGUGGGAGGUAACAGCACAAUAUCUUUGAACUAUAUACAUCCUUGAUGUAUAAUUUGUCAGGAGCUUGACUUGAUUGUAUAUUCAUAUUUACACGAGAACCUAAUAUAACUGCCUUGUCUUUUUCAGGUAAUAGCCUGCAGCUGGUGUUUUGAGAAGCCCUACUGCUGAAAACUUAACAAUUUUGUGUAAUAAAAAUGGAGAAG